rnacentral:rRNA from 1 species
GACGAACGCUGGCGGCGUGCUUAACACAUGCAAGUCGAACGGAGCACCCAUGAUCGAGGUUUCGGCCAAGUGAUUGGAAUGCUUAGUGGCGGACUGGUGAGUAACGCGUGAGGAACCUGCCUUCCAGAGGGGGACAACAGUUGGAAACGACUGCUAAUACCGCAUGACGCAUGACCGGGGCAUCCCGGACAUGCCAAAGAUUUAUCGCUGGAAGAUGGCCUCGCGUCUGAUUAGCUAGUAGGCGGGGUAGCGGCCCACCUAGGCGACGAUCAGUAGCCGGACUGAGAGGUUGACCGGCCACAUUGGGACUGAGAUACGGCCCAGACUCCUACGGGAGGCAGCAGUGGGGAAUAUUGGGCAAUGGACGCAAGUCUGACCCAGCAACGCCGCGUGAAGGAAGAAGGCUUUCGGGUUGUAAACUUCUUUUGUCAGGGAACAGUAGAAGAGGGUACCUGACGAAUAAGCCA